rnacentral:rRNA from 1 species
GCGGUGAAAUGCGUAGAGAUCUGGAGGAAUACCGGUGGCGAAGGCGGCCCCCUGGACAAAGACUGACGCUCAGGUGCGAAAGCGUGGGGAGCAAACAGGAUUAGAUACCCUGGUAGUCCACGCCGUAAACGAUGUCUACUUGGAGGUUGUGCCCUUGAGGCGUGGCUUCCGGAGCUAACGCGUUAAGUAGACCGCCUGGGGAGUACGGCCGCAAGGUUAAAACUCAAAUGAAUUGACGGGGGCCCGCACAAGCGGUGGAGCAUGUGGUUUAAUUCGAUGCAACGCGAAGAACCUUACCUGGUCUUGACAUCCACGGAAGUUUUCAGAGAUGAGAAUGUGCCUUCG